UUCUUAUUUUGUGUUAUUAAUUUGAAUUUGGAGAUUUUCAAGAAAAGUAGCUAUGAUUUGUUUGAUUUAAAAAAAAAAUUCUGGGUUUUUCUAUUUUUGUGUUCUUGAAUUGAUUUUGGGUUUUGGGGUUUAAAAUUAUGGGUUCUUUGAUUUUUUGAAGGAAUUGAGUAACCCGGUUGAUUUUUGAACAAAUUUUGUUUCUGGGUGUUUCUAGUUUUGUGUUCUCGGCUUGAUUUUGGGGUUUUCAGCCAUGGUUCUUUGAAUUUUUUAAGAAAGAGGGAACCCGGUUACAGAAAUUAAGGAAUCAGUGAAGUAAUUUAUGUGUUUUGUUUUUUUGAAUUGAUACAUGCAGUGACGAGUGCAAGAAGGAUAUGUCAGUGGCUUUAUAAGUUUCCACGGCCGUAGCCUUGAAUGCUAAAAUCAAGAUGAAUUCGGGGCCUCAAGUUGUUGAAAAGCCAGCUGAAGCCAAGAAGGAACAGGAAGACAACAACCUUGACAGAGCCGAAAGCGAAGAAAGAGAAGAAAAAGGAGAAGGGCAAGGAUCUAAAUGUACUGAAACGGCCUCCCACACAGCUCAUCUUCUCCUUUGUUGCAGUAUUUUUGCCCUGGCCAUUUACUUG